ACGCUACAGUGCGCUUCAGGCAACAGCUGUCUCGAACAAGCGAGACUAGCACACUGUCUGUUUACAUCGCGAAAACAAAUUCAGCCACUGCUAUAAUCUGUAAUAAGCAGUCUUUCACAAAUUCGGAAUUUGUGUAAUUAAUUUUGCGCUUGCAAGAUAACUGCAAAGAUGUGCGAUCAUUGCAGACGCAGAGGGCAUGGGGUCUCAAAGAAAAUAAGGAAGGUGAGAAGAAAACUGCCAGGCUUCGAUGGUCAACUUGCAGAGGUUGAAAUGUUGCCCAUGGGAUUGUCUGCUAAACGAAUGCAUUGUGAACUACGGCGAGAGACCUCUGAUUCGGAGCAACAAAGUCCAUUACCCGGAUCAGAAGUUGCACCUUUCCCUAAAGCACAACCAUGCAGAGUCCAGUUAAACAGUGACGGCAGAUAUGGAUGUGUAGCAAUUACCAAGGAUGGGGUUACAGCAAUGUUCCUUCCGGACAAGAGCCCUACCUGUGCAAGUGCCCUACCUGGCGUCAAAGAGCUAAGGCCAUGUUGUGAUAGGGCUUUGCAAUUAAAGACAAGACAAGGAAAGAAAAUAGAAAGCAGCAACCUCUCCCUGCAGAAAACAUCAACCAAUGGAUUGUGUGGUGGUAUGAUCAAUAUUCAUGUCAUCAAUGUGAAAGGAGACAGCCAUAGAUCUUCAGCAUUGAGUUCUUUGGAUGGAGUUCCUUUCUCAUGUCAUAAUGGACCAGAACAUUGCCCAAGGUGUGAUGCUUGUUACAAUGGAGGAUUUCCCACACAGACCAAUGACAAAUGGAGAGAAGAACUUUCAGAUCUGCCAGUGCACUUUGCAGACUCAGACCGAACAUCUAAAAAAGGCCAAACCAUUUUACAAAGAGCCCAAAGGUUCCUGCCUUUGUUACACGCUGUUUGUAUCUCAUUUUGCUCUCUGUUGGUUGCUGCUGACCUGUACUGUCAUUGGAAUGGAAGGUCAAGGUGCCCUGAGAGUGGCUUUUCUAGUCUAUUAUUUAGUCCAGCUUGUGACUACCAUCCUCCAGUAUGACUGGUUACUGUCAAUGAUAGGAUGACAUUUUCAUAUAAUUCAGGCUAAUUACUUCUGAUCUGUUAAUUAAAUAAAGAACUUCAUUUAAAUCCC